GGCGGGAUGGCGGAGCGGCCUAACGUGACUGCCUCGAAAACAGUUGCCCGGGUGAAACCGGGCCGGGAGUUCAAAUCUCCCUCCCGCCG
rfam:Arthrobacter chlorophenolicus A6 plasmid pACHL01, complete sequence.